rnacentral:lncRNA from 1 species
AUAUGGCAUUAUGGGAAGUUACAGAUGAAGGAAGAGGAUAUUUUAAUUUCAACCAACUAUUAAUCUUUAUAUUUAUCCUUCAUUUACCAGCCCCUUAGAGGCAAUAACGGCAGGUGGCCAUUGGACUUCCUCCUGCAGAAAGGGGUCCUCUCCCCGGAGGAGUGUCCCUUGUGCAACGGGGGAACCUGAGAGCUUCUCGCAGGAUCAGUGUGGGGAUUCCGCCAGCUUCGGGGGCUCUCUAGUCCAAUUCUGCAUCACAGGCUUGGGAAAAUAACCCCGGGGUCGGGGGUGGGGGCGUUCAGGGACCCACUGGGUCCACUGUGAGAAGGACCUGAGCAAACACCUUUGUCACCUGGCCUCCGUAAGCCCCUUUCUCUGACUGCUGGGCCACAGUGACAUUUUGGGUCUCCUGGAAUUAGUGUCACUUCAGAAUCUGGGUCCAGUCAUCCCCCAAAGAUCUGCUUCUUUCCUUUUCCCCAUCUCGUCUUCCUGGCAUGAGGCCAUAAGCGGGAGUAGUUCUUGGUGUGCAAAGAAAAAUCACUCUAUUCAGCAGAUUGAAGGGAUCUCCCCCAGAUCAUCCAACAAGGACGGUCCUCCCAGCUCCCUGAGUCGUGAAACUGGCCCUCUCCUCAGCCUGUAAUCUCUCCCCGGGAACUUUCAGCCUCCGGUGCCUAAGAGAGGCCUUUCUGAACCCCCAAAGCAGGACUGGCUACUGAAUGUUUGGUCACCCGCAUGGGAAUUUAGAAUAAAAUUUGUGAUCAUUACCCUCCGUAUAUUUGACAGAUACGGGUUGAACCCCUCCUGUGAGCCAGGCGUGGUGUGGGGUGCCAGGAACAGAGUGGAGAACAAGACAGAUAGGACCCCUGCACUCGAGGAGUGGUGGCGUCAUGAGAACGGGUCAUGACCACGAGCGUGAGAUGCGCUCUAGCUGGCGGAGUGUGGCUGCUCUUAACGAGGCUGCUGGCCAAGACCUGGAGGCAUCAGAGAAAAUCCUGAGGCUACUGUGUCUAACCUGAGAGCUGAGGAAUAUCCAGAUGAAGAGGGAAGGAGAGGAACAUGGGCCCAGCCAAAAGGUCAUUAGGGGUCAAGGUCUGGAAGCAGAGGGAGCAUGAGCCAUUAGUUCUACUGGAAGAAGAAUGAUGUAACUGAAAUGUAGGUUUCCACAGGCGGAAGGUGAUAUUUGAGUUCCCACUGUGGCUUCGCAGUAAUGAACCUGAUUAGUAUCCAUGAGGAUGCAGGUUCGAUCCCUGGCCUCGCUCACGGGGUUAAGGAUCUGGUGUUGCCAUGAGCUGUAGUGUAGGUCACAGAUGAGGCUCAGACCCCGAGUUGCUGUGGCUGUGACGUAGGCUGAUAUCUGAAGCUCCACUUUGACCCCUAGCCUGGGAACUUCCAUAUGCCGUGGGUGUGGCCUAAAAAAAAAAAAAAAAAAACACAGCUGCUCUGAGCCCUUUACCUGACUAGGUCUUGACCUUGGCCCUGUCCUUGCUGGGUCUCAGGAAUCUCCUGGAUGGGAUGUCUGGUCACCGUGGCGGGGCUUCUUCAGUAAGAUCCGCUCANNNNNNNNNNNNAGGAAUAGCUCUGCGCUUGCCGUGUCCCCCUUAGCAAUUUUCCACCCAGCAACCAUCUCCCUCUCUACCCUGAUUCGCGGCUGUACAUCACCACUUUUCCUUCUUGUAUUCAAAAAUUGAGCUCAAUUCUGUCCCGAAAUCUCUUUUCUCCUAUUGUAAUCGUUUUUUGAAUAACAUCUAUCUUUGCGGCUUUAAGGUGAUGUCUGGCUCAGGUUCCCUUUGACAAAGGGAAGCUACUGAGAGGUUGAAAAGGUAAACAAUAGCCAGUCUAUGAAAGGGUUUCGUUCCACGGAAAGCCAGUGUCGGGUUUUAAGAACUCCGGUGUCACGGUUUAUUCGCAGGUAAUAGAAAUCAGUCUCAUUGGAUAACAGAAUGAGGAAUGGAUGAAUGCCAGAAAACAGUCAGAAAUCGAAGAUAAAUGAAUACAAGUAAAAUGAUUUUCAUUGUUGCCUAGUUAACAAGCAUGGGGGCCCUUUAAGAGUCAGUCUCUGAUUGUUUAUUGCGGCUUUAAAAUAAGCCUUAAACAGUAAGUUUCAGUGACAAAGAGGCCUGUAGAGAAAUUGGUAACUAAGUAAAAUUCUGAAAUACAAGAAGAUAGCAAGGUAAAAUUGGAGUGGGGAAGCUCUAAGCACUGGAAGAGAAGAGGGAAAAUAUGAUAUGCCCUGGGCUCCCUGCAGGAAAAAAUAUCGCCCCAGAUUCAAUAAAGUGAGAGAAAAAUAUCAGUAAUCCCGUCUUACCCUUUGUGGUUCUCUAAGUAUAGAACGAAAAUAAUUUAACCGUAACUCUUUUUUUUUUUCAUUUUGGCUGCCCCGCAGCAUAUGGAGCUCCAGGGCCAGGGAUCAUAUCCAAGCCUCAGUCGCAACCUAAGCCACAGCUGCAACGCUGGAUCCUUAACCCAUGGUCCUGGGCUGGGGAUCGAACCUGCGUUCCAGCACUCCCAAGAGGCUGCCUAUCCUGUUGUGCCACAGCAGGAACUCCUUGGCUGUUGGUACAAUAGCCAUUCUUUGCAUCAGUGCUUGGAGCGUCCCACGCUUUCCAUCACUUCUUCCUGCAGUGAAGCCCCUGCUUCCUCGUUGCUGGGCUACUCUUAUUCUCCCCAAGGUCCAUAACGAGGCUGAUGAUGCACCUAAGCAAGGGACAGUGUCUUCAUCAGGAAGGCCUCCCAUCACAAGAUACCCCAGGACACAGGACUUAAACAGCAGGUGUUUAUUUCCACGUCGAGGGGCCAGCGGGGUUGGUUUCCGGUGAGGCCCCUCUCUCUGUCGUGCAGGUGGCCACUCCUCACAUGUCCUCACAUGGUCUUUCCUCUGUGCCUACACGUGGAGAGAGAGAGGGAGGGAGGAAGGCAGAGGGAGAGUGUUCUGGUGUAUCGUCCUCUUCUUAAAAGGACCCCAAUCCCAUUGGCUCAGGUUCCCAGCCUCAUGACCUCCUUUAGCCUUAAUGACCCCUGAAGAGGCCCCAUCUUCAAAUACAAUCACCGUAAGGGGUAAAGCUUCAACAUAUGAACUAGGGGGACGCAGUGCCAGCCAUAGCUGAUAAUGAGUUCACUAGGGCAUCAGGGCACGUGAAGAAUGGACCACUUUGUCUUACGUUGAUGAUGUUUUAAAUUCAACAGCAUUAUGGCUCGUCUAGGGCAGUGCGACCAUGUCAAACCAGAUUCGUGAACAUUUGUGACGUUCCCACUGGAUGAAUGAGGACAUAACAAUGUGCACACAAAACAUUUCCUCACUAGAAUAAGAGCUUAGCUGCAGAGAACAUCUUUUUCUGACCCAGCUAGUGUCCAGCGGAUGUAUUAUUUGGACUUGGGACUUGAUAGUGAGAGUAAAAAUUGAUUCUCCUCCCUGACUUUCCGAGGAAGGUAUUUCUUUAAAGAAACCGACAGCCUCUGCCACCUAGCCACCCGGUUUAAGCUCUGGAAUUUCUUGUUCUUUAUUCGAUUUCAUCUCCAUCUCCUCCCCACUUUAGCAGAAACAAAGUGUAUCAAGAAUGAAACAAUUUGGAGCCAUUGAUGCUUAGUACCUGUUUAAAGAUCCUUGUUCCAAGUAAUUAAAAAAUUUCCUCGGUGGCAGAAUUAAAUAGACUUGAAUAGUCCAAUAGUGGGAUUGCAGAGAAGGAUGACUAAGAAGCAGAAAUAUUCCUCUUUGGGAGUUUCUGCUGUGGCUCAGUGGUAAUGAACCCCACUAGUGUCCGUGAGAACGCAGGUUCCAUCCCUGGCCUCACUCGUUGGGCUAAGGAUCCAGUGUUGCCGUGAGCUGUGGUGUAGGUCACAGACACAGCUCGGAUCUGGUGUGGCUGUGGCCGUGGCUGUGGCCGGCAGCUGCAGCUUGGGUUCACCCCUAGCCUGGGAACUUCCAUAUGUUGCAGGUGUGGCCCUAAACACACACACACACACUCACGAAAAGCAGAAAGCACGGAGAGAGAGAGGGAAAAAAGAAAAAGAAAUGUUCCUCUUUGAGCAGGUGGAACGAAUUCUCCAUGUUUCCUUUUAUACGCCCAUGAUAGUUUGUUAGCUUUAUGGCAUCUUAGGUUCCAUAAUGCAACAUGUUCUUUGUUUUAAAAGUCUUCUUAUCUGUAUUGUUUCUCAGUUUUCAAAGCAUUUUCUGACCUCUUGUUGAAUUUCAUUCUCAUAAUAAUUAUGUGAGUUUAGUUGAGUGCGGUGUUUUUAAUUCACAUUUUUAAAAAUUCAGUAACAAAAAAUCAAGGACAGUUUUAAAAUAUUUAUGAAUAUCCCUUCAAUACUCAAAUUUCCUGAGCUAUAUUUUAGAGAUUUUCUUUGGUCGAGGGGUAGGAAAUGUUUUUUGAGUAAGACCAAACCCUGACACGAUGCUUGAGGAAAAGGAAACUCAUGACAAAACGGGCCCCUUACUAUUUAUGUCAUCGAUCUCCUUUAAAAGUCUGAUGGAAUUCCUCUAUUAAUUAACCCAGUCUUCUUAAAGUGUUUGGUACUAUUAAUUAUCGUAUUAAUAUCAUUGCCUGGGGAGCAGAAAUUCUGGAAUCCUACCCUACAUAUUCAUCCUCCCUAGGAAGUGCCUAGAGAGAUGUGUGUGCCGUGGAAACAGAAACUGAUGGAAGACAGAAUGUUCCACUUUAUUAAAGUUCUCGAAGUUCGGUCCAAAGCAGAGGCUUGAGUUCAACGUCUAACGGAGUCUUCAUGCUUCUUACUGAGCCAUAACAGGAGUCUCAAGAUGUUACCAUCGUCCAGCCACGAGCACUGAGAGGAAGCAAAUUGCUUAGUGACAGAGCAGACAAAGACUGUGGGCCUUCUCUCCCUGUCCUGGAACAGAGAUUGAGGCAACAGAAGGUAGUUCAGUCCAAAGUGCUGCAGAAGCAGGUUUAAGGUCUCCUUGCCAUUCUGAAGCGCACACCCAGAAAGGAGGGAGCUGGCUGGUGUUCAGCACCAGGAAGGAAGCCACGUGUGACCUUACUGGUCC